AUGGAGACUGGGGGCCAGGGCGCCAUCCAGAGAAUACGGAUGGGGGACAGGGCGCAGUCUGGUGAUGAGAACAGGGACAGGGCACCCUCCGGGAAAGGGCACCUUGCCGCGCAGCGCCUUCCUCCAGCGGGGCUCCCACUCGGGUGGCUCGGGCCCCGCGGCCAUGCGGCAAGCUGCGCACAGCGGGCCCCCGUCGGCGCGGCACAGCAGCUGCAGCGCCGCCUCGGAGGCCGGGCCGUCGCGCGUGGGCGCCGCAGCUGCUUCUUCGAGCGCCAGCAGGCGGCGGCUGAGCGGCGGGGGGGCGGGGGGCUCGGCCCGCCGGCCGGCGGCGGCGGGGAACCCGGGGCGCGGGAAGNNNNNNNNNNNNNNNNNNNNNNNNNNNNNNNNNNNNNNNNNNNNNNNNNNNNNNNNNNNNNNNNCGCCGGGGCCCGGGGGGAGCGCCAGGGCGGCAGCGGCGGGGCCCCAGAGGGCGCAGACAGGGAUGCGAACAGGGGCGCACUGGUGGCUGGCAGAGCCGGGGACCCGGACGCACUAAGAGCGCUACCGGAGAGCCAGGGACAAGAAUGCGUUGAUAGAGAUGGAGCGCAGGGACAGAAGACAGAUCGGAACGGAUGUCCUCCAGCACCCUCCACGGCCCAGCUUACCCCACACCGUGGCCACGGCCCCCUCCAGGCCUCAUUCUGUAGUGACUUUAUGAUCUCGAGGGGGAUCGCUGGGCACGGAGACACAAAAAGAGCUACCUAAACUAUCCCACGUGUCUCCCACAGCAUACCCCCCUUGUCAACUCCUACAAUGCCGGGGCCGGAGCCCGGGGCUGACAGAACCAGGAGCAGCACGGCCGGAAGGAAAGCACAAGCCACCCCACUCCUGCCCUGUCGCCCUGGAGUAGGUGCCCCUGGGAUCGGCACGUUCUGAGAAGCUGCUCUCCUGGACUGCUUGUAGCUGGGCAACUUGAGCACUCCGCAGGCACGCUCAGUCGCUUUGUCGUGUCCGACCGUUUGCGACCCCAUGGACUGUGGCCUGCAGGGCUCCUCUGUCCCUGGCAUUUCCAAGGGAAGAAUACUGGAGUGGGUCGCCGUGCCCUCCUCCAGGGGCUCUUCUAGCCCAGGGAUCAAGCCUGAGUCUCCUGUCUCCAGCGUUGGCAGGCAGGCUCUUUACCACGAGCGCCAGGGGGUUCUCUGGUCCUCGGCCCUCGGCGGUGCUUCCUCCCUGCAGCGGCAGCUGCUGCUGACCGUGUGACAGGCCUCCGAGCCCACACCCCUUGUGGUCUCCUGGUGAGUCUGAACAGUGUGCGCACCAGUGUCUCUGUGCUAGGGAUGCUAUGCUGCACUCAUGAAGUUCACCCAUGAAGGCGGCAUCAUGGCCUGACCUCUCCCCCGAGAUCUGAGUUAUCUGUGUUCAUGACGGCCCUGCCCAGCCUCAGGGUCCUCUUCUUUACCGUCCCACCUUGUCUCGUGAGCACACCCCAACAGGGCCCAGGAUGUGAGGCCUCUGAGCACCUGCAGAGCUGUCCCCUUUGCUCUGGGAGGUCACGCCACACCUUGACAGAACCCCUUCUGUGGCUGCUGUCUAGAGUCAGCGUACCCCCCAGAGGUGCCAGACACUGACCCCAGUCCAGCAUGGGUGCCCACCUGCCCUCCUGGACCUGGCUCUGCUCCCCGGCGUCCCUCCUUCCUCUCCCGCCGUCGUCAAGCACUGUCCACACCUAUUUCGCCUCCACUCCACUCUACACCCAGACCUCACCUCCUGGCUUACCUCCACCUCACCCUCCACAGGCAACUCUCACUCCCAGUUCACUUUCGCUUCAAACGCCACCUCACCUCCACACCGAGGAGUCACCUCCACAUCACCUCCAGCACGUCUCCACCUCCCCCACACCCCGAGCUCACUUCCCAUAACAACCAGGCGCUGGACGGAAGACCCGAGGCCUUCCAUCACGGCUCUCUCUUGGGACUACCCUCUCAACACCGGGUCAACAUCCCACCCUCAAGGGCCAUGCUCUCAUCUAUUUCCCAGCUUCUCUCCUGUUCCGCUCCCGCGAGAGGACCAUAAUUCUGUCCUUUCCCAUGUGGCUGCCCGCCUCCUCUUUCUCAGACGCGAACCCCUGAGGACAGUGAGGACCUUAUCCUCUGCUCAUUAUCUGAGAGAAGCGUGGGAGACUGUGGAGACUCCUGCUGCAAGAAUGCAGGAGAUGCGCAGAGACAUGAAAGACUGCAGCCAGACAGGGCGGAGCUGGAGGACACGAUAAAGCCCGCAGACAUGAAGCCGCUGCUCCACACGCCACACGCGGCCUUUACCCCUGACGGCGAGCGUGGCUGAGGUCCUCUCCUGCCC
rnacentral:lncRNA from 1 species